GGGCACAUAGCUCAGAUAGGUUAGAGCACUACGUUGACAUCGUAGAGGUCCGUGGUUCGAUCCCACGUGUGCCCACCA
rnacentral:tRNA from 1 species